UCAAACUCUUGGGUAACUUUGCAGUCUGAGUAAACUUAAUUAAUAAAUUAAAACUUUUAACAACGGAUCUUUUGGUUCUGGCAUCGAUGAAGAACGCAGCGAAAUGCGAUAAGUAAUGUGAAUUGCAGAAUUCAGUGAAUCAUCGAAUCUUUGAACGCACAUUGCGCCCCCUGGUAUUCCGGGGGGCAUGCCUGUUCGAGCGUCAUUUCACCACUCAAGCCUCGCUUGGUAUUGGGCAACGCGGUCCGCCGCGUGCCUCAAAUCGACCGGCUGGGUCUUCUGUCCCCUAAGCGUUGUGGAAACUAUUCGCUAAAGGGUGCUCGGGAGGCUACGCCGUAAAACAACCCCAUUUCUAAGGUUGACCUCGGAUCAGGUAGGGAUACCCGCUGAACUUAAGCAUAUCAAUAAGCGGAGGAAAAGAAACCAACAGGGAUUGCCUUAGUAACG
rnacentral:rRNA from 1 species